CGGUCACGGUUAAUACCCGUGACUACUGACGGUACCGGAAGAAGAAGCACCGGCUAACUACGUGCCAGCAGCCGCGGUAAUACGUAGGGUGCGAGCGUUAAUCGGAAUUACUGGGCGUAAAGCGUGCGCAGGCGGUUUUGUAAGUCAGAUGUGAAAUCCCCGGGCUUAACCUGGGAACUGCGUUUGAAACUACAAGGCUAGAGUGUGGCAGAGGGGGGUGGAAUUCCACGUGUAGCAGUGAAAUGCGUAGAGAUGUGGAGGAACACCGAUGGCGAAGGCAGCCCCCUGGGUUAACACUGACGCUCAGGCACGAAAGCGUGGGGAGCAAACAGGAUUAGAUACCCUGGUAGUCCACGCCCUAAACGAUGUCAACUAGUUGUCGGGUCUUAACGGACUUGGUAACGCAGCUAACGCGUGAAGUUGACCGCCUGGGGAGUACGGUCGCAAGAUUA
rnacentral:rRNA from 1 species